GAUGAACGCUAGCGGCAGGCUUAAUACAUGCAAGUCGAGGGGCAGCAUGACUGUAGCAAUACAGUUGAUGGCGACCGGCAAACGGGUGCGGAACACGUACUGAACCUUCCUUUAAGUGGGGAAUAGCCCAGAGAAAUUUGGAUUAAUACCCCGUAACAUAUAGAAGUGGCAUCGCUUUUAUAUUAUAGCUCCGGCGCUUAAAGAUGGCAGUGCGGCUGAUUAGGUAGUUGGCGGGGUAACGGCCCACCAAGCCGACGAUCAGUAACUGGUGUGGGAGCACGACCAGUCACACUGGCACUGAGACACGGGCCCGAGUCCUACGGGAGGCAGCAGUAAGGAAUAUUGGUCAAUGGACGCAAGUCUGAACCAGCCAUGCCGCGUGGAGGAUGAAGGUCCUCUGGAUUGUAAACUUCUUUUAUCUGGGAAGAAAUUCCCGCAUUCUUGCGGGAUUGACGGUACCAGAUGAAUAAGCACCGGCUAACUCCGUGCCAGCCGCCGCAGUAAAAC
rnacentral:rRNA from 1 species